UGGGAGGCUGGGAGGCUGGGAGGCUGGGAGGCUGGAGAGGCUGGGGCUCCUCACUUCCCUCUUCGGUUGCGCUCAAUUCCUAGACUCCGGGCCCAGAUGGCUCUUCCAACAAACACUCUAAGCACUGAGGGCUUUCCUCCUCUGCUUCUUUUCUUUUUAAUAUUCACCCAGAACUUUCGUGGGGAAAGAAAAAGAAAAGAAAAGAAAAAAAAAACAACAGAAAAACAAACACUUCUGAGUGCUUUCAGUCUCAAACAAAGCUUAAUACAUUAGUUGGCAGGAAAUCCAGGGUGGAAUUUGCCAUUAAUCUGUAGUAAGGCAACCCUUCAAACACCCGCACUGAACAAUCAAACACUUUUAAAUGUCAUUCCUCAACAAAAGCGUGCAUUGUCCCUGGAGAUGCCCCGGUGGCACUAACCUUUCCAGAAUGGGGAGAAUAAAUCUCUUCACUUCUCAGGUUGAGUGCUAAACGGAACUUUCUAGAGUUUCUCACCACCAGGCCUCCUGCAGGCACAUUUCAGCUCAAGGAGUCUCUUAAUGGACCAGCUUUUCUCCUCUGGUGGUGUUUUAUAUGCAGCUCUCUCUCUCUCUCUCUCUCUCUCUCUCUCUCUCUCUCUCUCUCUCUCUCUCUCUCUGUUGGGUGUGUACACAUCUGUGCCUUCUUUUCAAAAAACUGAAAUUGUUCUUCAUGAUGCCAAAGACAAGUAGAAAGUUCACCCUUCAACCCCCAUGCCUCUCGGCCUCUGGAAUGGGAUAGUUAAGAUUUAUCGAGCACUUGUUAUGCACCAGAGGCUGUUGUCUCAAUCCACAGCACACUACAGGUCUGCUUGCUGAUUCCACUCUCUAGACCAUGGUUUUGCAGCUGAUGUUCCAGUGCUGUAUUGCUAUUGUUGUUGUUACUUUGUUGCUGUGACAAAUGACCCGACAGAGAAGACUCAAAGAAAAGCACUUUCUUUGGGUUCCCAGUUUGGGGGUAGAAUCCACCAUGGCUAGAAAAGUGAUGUGACAGAAGUAUAAGGGCUGGCUGGCUGGCUUGGAGGUUAAGAGAAUUUGCUGGUUUUUCUGGAGGAAGUGAGUUGGCGUCCCAGCACCCAUGUCAAGUGAUUCACAACCUCCUGUGUCCCCAGCUAUAGAGGAGCUGACAGCCAUUAAAGGUAGGCUGUGGCAAGGGGGAAUUGUACUUCCAAGUCUCUUCUUGAGAAAGACUGAAUCAUUCCACAGCUUCAGGUAGGUUGCAGAUCCUUCCAGACAUGUUACUCAUGGGAAGCCAUCUUCCUCGAGAUCACACAUUCCACAGUUACCCAGACAAAGAGCACCUACUGAGGAAUUUCCUAUGAACCACUGUUUGAACUUGUCCCCCAGGAUAUGAAGCCAGAGGUGCAACUAGUCAGAAAAGGCAGAGGCUGAGCUUAGGAAAGCUUCAAGUGAUACAGGACUUCCUUUGGAUCAAGUCAAACCUCUGCAAGCCCAGAUCAACUACUGUGAAGCAGCCAGGCUAAGCAGCCGCACUGUGGAAAGCAGCCUCGGCACAAAGCAGGGCAGGCACAGUUUUGAAUCCAGCGUCACCUGCUUGCAGCAUAACUUCUCAGAAAAGCAUCUUCUGUCAAGCAGCUCGGAACACAGAAUCACCGGUAGCUCCCAAGGGCUGGAGAGACCUACCCCUUCCUCCCAAGCUCUGGGAUUAAAGCUACUCACCACCACAGCAGGCUUUAAGUGCUCUAAGAGUCCAGAACAAACCCCGAAAAGUAACUCUUGGGUUUUUGGCAGAGGAAGUCUCCUGAAUGGAAAAGUGAGGCGCCUUUAGUUACAGAUCAACCUUCAUGGGAAAUGCUUGACGGAAACUUUAUGGCUCCUAUCCCUCUCCAGCCCUUGGACCGACCGCAGUGCUACAGUGACCCAUGAUGCCAUGCAGCUGAGUCACCCGGAGAUGCUGCUGUACAUCAAAGGGCAGAGAAGCAGGUCCCGGGGAGUCUCUAGCCCUCCCUGCACGUCAUCCCUUUGCUUGUACAAGCACAUCCAUCUCACCUGGUGAUGUCACUGCCCUGGAUUCAUAUGAGCCACAGAGAGCAGCUGAUGACAGGACUCCUAGGCAAGGGAGGGGGACUUCUGUCUGAUGUCACUUCAAAGAGAGGUGAGUUUUAUAGGUAAACCUGUGUGUGGCUCUCCUGAGACAAAGGUCACCUGGUUCCACAUAGUAUUGGAAGAGGGCAAAGAGAGAGGAUAGAAUUUCUGGCUGAAGCAAAGGGGAGGCUGCACCUCUCACGUUCACUCCAAAGGAGACAAACUCUUUCCUAAGAUGAGAUCACCCAGCAUGCUCAGCAAGGUGCUAAAAAAUAAUUGCCCUCAAUGAAGACAUACAAAUAAAUCAUUGUGCUUGGCAGCCAAA